rnacentral:rRNA from 1 species
UACGUAGGGGGCAAGCGUUGUCCGGAUUUAUUGGGCGUAAAGAGCGUGUAGGCGGCUUGACAAGUCUGCUGUGAAAACUCGAGGCUCAACUUCGAGCUGUCGGUGGAAACUUUCUGGCUAGAGUCCGGAAGAGGAGAAUGGAAUUCCUGGUGUAGCGGUGAAAUGCGCAGAUAUCAGGAAGAACACCCGUGGCGAAGGCGGUUCUCUGGGACGGUACUGACGCUGAGACGCGAAAGCGUGGGGAGCGAACAGG